rnacentral:rRNA from 1 species
UACGGAGGAUACGAGCGUUCUCCGGAAUUAUUGGGUUUAAAGGGUGCGUAGGUGGCAGAUUAAGUCAGUGGUGAAAAGCUGUGGCUCAACCAUAGUCUUGCCGUUGAAACUGGUUUGCUAGAGUACAGAUGCUGUGGGCGGAAUGCGUAAUGUAGCGGUGAAAUGCAUAGAUAUUACGCAGAACUCCGAUUGCGAAGGCAGCUCACAAAGUUGUAACUGACACUGAUGCACGAAAGCGUGGGUAU